UUUCCGUAGGUGAACCUGCGGAAGGAUCAUUCAUAAUAAAGUGUUUUAUGGCACUCUUUAAAAAUCCAUGUCCACCUUGUGUGCAAUGUUAGAUCUCGUCAAUCUUGGCGAGAUUUUUAUACAUCAACUCAUUUUUUAACUAAUUUGUCUGAAAAAUAUUAUGAAUACUUAAUCCAAAAUACAACUUUCAACAACGGAUCUCUUGGCUCUC
rnacentral:misc_RNA from 1 species